rnacentral:rRNA from 1 species
UAACGCGUGGGUAACCUGCCUCAUACAGGGGAUAACAGUUAGAAAUGACUGCUAAUACCGCAUAAGCGCACAGUGCUGCAUGGCACAGUGUGAAAAACUCCGGUGGUAUGAGAUGGACUCGCGUCUGAUUAGCUAGUUGGUGGGGUAACGGCCUACCAAGGCGACGAUCAGUAGCCGGCCUGAGAGGGUGAACGGCCACAUUGGGACUGAGACACGGCCCAA